UGGGGAAUAUUGCACAAUGGAGGGAACUCUGAUGCAGCGACGCCGCGUGAACGAAGAAGGCUUUCGAGUCGUAAAGUUCUUUUAUAUGGGAAGAUAAUGACGGUACCAUAAGAAAAAGCCCCGGCUAACUACGUGCCAGCAGCCGCGGUAAUACGUAGGGGGCUAGCGUUGUCCGGAAUCACAGGGCGUAAAGGGUUCGCAGGCGGAAAUGCAAGUCAGGUGUAAAAGGCAGUAGCUUAACUACUGUAAGCAUUUGAAACUGCAUAUCUUGAGAAGAGUAGAGGUAAGUGGAAUUUUUAGUGUAGCGGUGAAAUGCGUAGAUAUUAAAAAGAAUACCGGUGGCGAAGGCGACUUACUGGGCUCAUUCUGACGCUGAGGAACGAAAGCGUGGGUAGCAAACAGG
rnacentral:rRNA from 3 species